rnacentral:rRNA from 1 species
UACGUAGGUGGCGAGCGUUGUCCGGAUUUACUGGGCGUAAAGAGCGCGCAGGCGGUCGUUCAAGUCGCGUGUGAAAGCCCCCGGCUCAACUGGGGAGGGUCACGCGAUACUGAUCGACUCGAAGGCAGGAGAGGGUAGUGGAAUUCCCGGUGUAGUGGUGAAAUGCGUAGAUAUCGGGAGGAACGCCAGUGGCGAAAGCGAAUCUCUGGGCAGCAACUGACGCUGAGGCACGAAGGCCAGGGGAGCAAACGGG